AUGACCACUGCUAUCUUUGGGACACGCAUUGGUCACUUGGGGUCAGAUGUGCGAAAGAAAUUGAAAGCCGCCUAUACAUUGGUUGAACAAUUGUAUACUGGUGCCCAGCGGAUCAUCUGUACCAUGUCUCAUAACAAACCGGCGCCCACUUUGAUUCAAGAUACUCUGAUGAAACUUUCAGUGCUUCCUGCCCGGGUUGAAGAGCUGAAGAAAUCUGCUGCUCGAACCGGUGCAAUCAAUGCCUUAAUCCGAGCAAAAGCCCGGGUUCCGGAUUUUGAUCCCAUUGAAGCGGCUCAGGGCUAUCCCAGCUUGAAGGAUGACGGGUCAGAAUUUGGUGAAGCGGAUCUGCGAGCAAUAAACCGGGAGGUACGUCCACUAGCUUGUCAGUUGGCUGAGGAAGCAGACUUGUCUCAUUAUCAAGCGCAAUAUGACAGUCAGAACAAGCGAAUAGCUGCACCAAUCCAUGAAUCGGAAAAUCUGAUCCCUCCAAUCCGUAAGCAUACUUACGCUCCCGAUAUUGACCCGUCAUUGCUGAUCCAUGAUGAAGCUGUUUUUCAAGCAUUAAUGGGAAUCGACUGGACAACUGUGGAUUUCCAGCCACUGGGUAGAGAAACGGAGGCUGAAGCGGCGCAGGAUGACCCACAACCAUCAGGCCAGGCUGGUGACCAAGCUUGA
rnacentral:rRNA from 1 species